AGAGUUUGAUCAUGGCUCAGGACGAACGCUGGCGGUGUGCUUCACACAUGCAAGUCGCACGAGGUAGCAAUACCUAGUGGCGGACGGGUGAGUAACGCGUGGGAAUCUGCCUUAAAAUGGGGGAUAGCUAGCCGAAAGGCUAAUUAAUACCGCAUAAGCCUAUAUUUCGACAGUUUUAUAGGUGAAAGGAGUAAUUCGUU
rnacentral:rRNA from 1 species